AAGCUUGGCAUUAGAAACCUCCGUAAACAAGUAUGCACUAACUGCUCUCAGUGCAAGAUUAAGAGGUUUCAUAACCAAGAAGAAGAAAGUAAGGCUUACAAUAAUUCCAAAUUUAGCACUGUACUAAACCCUGUUAUGCUCUCCCUGCAAAGAGGGACAGGAAAAAACAAAGGGAUUAAUCAGAAAUAGCACUCACCACACUUCUCUCUCUCCUAUUGAGAACUCUCCUGAUGAAGUGAGCAAAACUGGGUAACACAGUCCAGCAAAAACCUCACCAAGUCCAUAUUUUACAGUGAUACUGGAACACUGCCAGCAAGCCUGGUUUUGAUCUGAAGUACUGUAAGAUUUUUUUCAUAAAUCCAAUAUAAGCACUGGAACAGCAGAAUAUUGGCAGAAUUGCUUUGGAUGCUUGAGAAGGAAGAAGAAGAAAGGAGAAAUAGCUAAGUAUACAUUCAAGAGCUUGAAGCUAAAGCUGUGUCUAUUAUCAAGCCAUAUUUCUAGGACUUUGCACUACUGCCAGCCUUCCAAAAAUUCUGAAGUGAAAAAUGAAGAUAUUAAACAAGAAUGACCAAGAUUUACAAGAAACAAACAAAGGAGAUGAGCAGUUGCAAUACAAAUCUAGGAGAUCCAAAAGAGAAGAAAAUGAGAAAAACAAAGCCACAACUUAUUUCUACACAUUUCCCACCUGCCAUGAAUCCAAAAAACACCAUCAAGUACACACCUUCAUAGCAAGUGCAAUUAAAGCACCUUCUGUUGGCUUCCCCAUCAAUGUGUUGUUUCUAAUCAAGGCAUCAUUGCACACACAACCAGCCUAAAAGAGAAGAAAAGAGGAGAAAACAGAAGACAAAGUAAAUACCAUAAAAAGCUCUUGUGCUACAUCAUCAGCUAAAACUCACCUUUUUUUUUGCCAAGAUCUUACCUCCACAAUUUUGCUAAUGGAUGGGUUGUUAUAACCAUGAAUGACUUCACCAUCGAGCAUCACUUCUCCAAACCUGUUAUAACCUACUCCAGUAACCUGCAAGACAAGCAGCCAGAGGCAGCAUGCAAUGUAGUGUUCACCAGGUUAACUGCUCUCAGCUCUUUAUUAUAAACUACAGAAGAAUUUCAAAAGGCCAUUUAUAAUGCUGCUUUUUACUCAGUGUGCAUGAAUUCUUCUUACUUAGCUUCUAAUGCAGCAACACUCUGAAUUCAAUAAAAUAUAUUAGAGACUAA